rnacentral:rRNA from 1 species
AUUGAACGCUGGCGGCAGGCCUAACACAUGCAAGUCGAACGGUAACAGGAAGCAGCUUGCUGCUUCGCUGACGAGUGGCGGACGGGUGAGUAAUGUCUGGGAAACUGCCUGAUGGAGGGGGAUAACUACUGGAAACGGUAGCUAAUACCGCAUAACGUCGCAAGCCCAAAGAGGGGGACCUUAGGGCCUCUUGCCAUCGGAUGUGCCCAGAUGGGAUUAGCUAGUAGGUGGGGUAACGGCUCACCUAGGCGACGAUCCCUAGCUGGUCUGAGAGGAUGACCAGCCACACUGGAACUGAGACACGGACCAGACUACUACGGGAGGCAGCAGUGGGGAAUAUUGCACAAUGGGCGCAAGCCUGAUGCAGCCAUGCCGCGUGUAUGAAGAAGGCCUUCGGGUUGUAAAGUACUUUCAGCGGGGAGGAAGGGAGUAAAGUUAAUACCUUUGCUCAUUGACGGUACCCGCAGAAGAAGCACCGGCUAACUCCGUG